CAAAUCUCACGAGAAAGAUUUCCGCUGUUUGAAAGGCAACAACAUCAGCAAGCAGCCACGAGGAAAGCAAUCUACCACACUCGUUUGGUCUUGUGUCAAAGCUGUGCGAAACUGGAGGGAGAAACUUGAGAGACCGUGCCGGAAGAAUGCUGGACAGAGUUCACUAAAAUUCAUUACUUUCAAAGUUCAACAUGAAUGGUGGUGGUCCACUGCAGAAGCAAGCAUUUGAAAAAACAUCACUUCUCAGUUAUUAAAGAUGCUGUGUUGAACAACUUCCCAGCAGCAACAGAACUGGAAGUGAAGGAUGCAAUGGGGGCAUUUCAAACAGGCACCGGGGAGCACGGGGGGGGGGGUAUAGAAAUUAGUACAAUUAAUAAGUUGACGUGAACUGAAGAUAG